rnacentral:rRNA from 1 species
UACGGAGGAUCCGAGCGUUAUCCGGAUUUAUUGGGUUUAAAGGGCGCGUAGGCGGCCUGCUAAGUCGAACGUGAAAUCCCCGGGCUCAACCCGGGAACUGCGUCCGAUACUGGCAGGCUUGAAUCCGGGAGAGGGAUGCGGAAUUCCAGGUGUAGCGGUGAAAUGCGUAGAUAUCUGGAGGAACACCGGUGGCGAAGGCGGCAUCCUGGACCGGCAUUGACGCUGAGGCGCGAAAGCCAGGGGAGCAAACGGG